GAUGAACGCUGGCGGCGUGCCUAAUACAUGCAAGUCGAGCGAACAGACGAGGAGCUUGCUCCUCUGACGUUAGCGGCGGACGGGUGAGUAACACGUGGAUAACCUACCUAUAAGACUGGGAUAACUUCGGGAAACCGGAGCUAAUACCGGAUAAUAUAUUGAACCGCAUGGUUCAAUAGUGAAAGACGGUUUUGCUGUCACUUAUAGAUGGAUCCGCGCCGCAUUAGCUAGUUGGUAAGGUAACGGCUUACCAAGGCAACGAUGCGUAGCCGACCUGAGAGAGUGAUCGGGCACACUGGAACAGCAACACGGUCCAGACUCCUACGGCAGGCAGCAGUAGGGAAUCUUCCGCAAUGGGCGAAAGCCUGACGGAGCAACGCCGCGUGAGUGAUGAAGGUCUUCGGAUCGUAAAACUCUGUUAUUAGGGAAGAACAAAUGUGUAAGUAACUAUGCACGUCUUGACGGUACCUAAUCAGAAAGCCACGGCUAACUACGUG
rnacentral:rRNA from 1 species